CAGAUCAAGAUGACAACAAAAAAAUAUCGGAUCAUACCCUAAUUGUAGGAGCAAUCUGCUGGAAAGGUUCCAAGCAUGAUACUUUAGUCUACUCAGUUAGUGAUGUAGAGUAUAUCGUAGCAUAUGAUGCUACCAUGUAAGCUGUGUAAUUGCUGAGCUUCAUUAACAGGUUUGAAGUGGCAUCCUCCACCGAUGGUCUAGUCCUAUCAUAGCACUGGAGCCAUAAAUCUGGCUAA
rnacentral:lncRNA from 1 species